CAUUCUCACUUCCGUUACACUUUUAGGAUCACCGCGCCACCUCGCGUCACUCUCCAGCGCUUUCGGGAUCGGACGCGCAUUCGUUCGUUCUUUAAUUCAAUCAUUCCACAGCAGAGGAGCGAGCGGCCUCGAUCGGUCUACAGUUUCCAGCUGUCACAUAUUGUUUUAUGGAACUAGUAGAUAUGAACCACUUUGAAAAGAUUGACAAACUAUUGAAUACUUUAGUGGACAGCCUAUUUGGGGAAAGAGAGAAACAGAGUCAUACACCACGGCAUUAAGUGAGCCAGAGGCCGGAGGCCUAGAGUGAGCCGCGGCCUAGAGUGAGCGAAGGCCGGCUUAAGUGAGCAGAGGCAGGUGGGCUUGAGAACGGUGCGGUCGGACGAUUUUAUGAAGGAGUGUCAGUUGGGCUUGCAGCAACCACAUGUGACAACCCCGGGCUGGACUCCGCUUCGUCCACAGUGAAAGCUGAUUGGUGGCGACAACAACAAUACUACAACGAG